GACCUUUUGUCCUAUUAUGUUGCAGACAUCAAUGAAUGUGUGCCACCCAUGAAAGUGUCCUGUGGAAAACUUGCUGACUGCCAGAAUGUGGAGGGGAGCUACUACUGCACGUGCAGCCCAGGCUAUGAGCUCCGUUCUGGGGGAACAAACUUCACUAAUGAGAGUGAGAACACAUGUCAAGGAACACCACACAACAACCGAAACUCCCUCCACCCGAACUUCACCAACCAACCAACCCGAACUCUUCAGGAAUCCCUGCAAGAACUUCAAAGUAGCAGACGCCUGAGACAGCAGGAGCUGCCCUAUACACAGCCUGUUUCAAUCCAACAAUCCAGUCACAGCAAUUAUACACAGCUGAGCUUAAUUAUCAUCA